GAUGAACGCUGGCGGCGUGCCUAAUACAUGCAAGUCGAGCGAACAGAUGAGAAGCUUGCUUCUCUGAUGUUAGCGGCGGACGGGUGAGUAACACGUGGGUAACCUACCUAUAAGACCGGGAUAACUCCGGGAAACCGGGGCUAAUACCGGAUAAUAUUUUGAACCGCAUGGUUCGAUAGUGAAAGACGGUUUCGGCUGUCACUUAUAGAUGGACCCGCGCCGUAUUAGCUAGUUGGUAAGGUAACGGCUUACCAAGGCGACGAUACGUAGCCGACCUGAGAGGGUGAUCGGCCACACUGGAACUGAGACACGGUCCAGACUCCUACGGGAGGCAGCAGUAGGGAAUCUUCCGCAAUGGGCGAAAGCCUGACGGAGCAACGCCGCGUGAGUGAUGAAGGUCUUCGGAUCGUAAAACUCUGUUAUUAGGGAAGAACAAACGUGUAAGUAACUGUGCACGUCUUGACGGUACCUAAUCAGAAAGCCACGGCUAACUACGUGCCAGCAGCCGCGGUAA
rnacentral:rRNA from 1 species